rnacentral:rRNA from 1 species
AUGAUAUACUCUCGUGUUCCUACUCUGAAUGAUGGUUUUAUGCAGCAGUCACAGGGCUGCUUGUAUUAUGCUGGUUUUGAAAGAGAUGAAAAUGAUGAUCAGGAUGUUCGACUGCUAGUUUAUAUUCUCGAAGACUAUAAUAGUAAAGAAUGGAUACUGAAGCAUAGCAUUGAAACUUCACAUCUAUUUGGAGGGCGACAUGAUGUAGACAUUGAGGAGGACUUUUGUUGGAUUGCAAUUCAUCCGGAAUGUAACUUGAUCUUCUUCACGUUGGGCUGGGAUAGAACGUUCAUGUUCUAUGAUAUGGAUCGUCGGCAACUCAAAGAGAUAUGCAAUCUUGAAAAUGUCAAUCCACCAUAUCUGCCAUAUGUGCCGCUGUAUGAAGAGUUACAAUCGUUACACAAGUGA